rnacentral:rRNA from 1 species
AGAACUUAGCAGAGAUGCUUUGGUGCCUUUCGGGAACUCUGAGACAGGUGCUGCAUGGCUGUCGUCAGCUCGUGUUGUGAAAUGUUGGGUUAAGUCCCGCAACGAGCGCAACCCUUAUCCUUUGUUGCCAGCGGUUCGGCCGGGAACUCAAAGGAGACUGCCGGUGAUAAACCGGAGGAAGGUGGGGAUGACGUCAAGUCAUCAUGGCCCUUACGGCCAGGGCUACACAUGUGCUACAAUGGCGCAUACAAAGAGAAGCGACCUCGCGAGAGCAAGCGGACCUCAUAAAGUGCGUCGUAGUCCGGAUUGGAGUCUGCAACUCGACUCCAUGAAGUCGGAAUCGCUAGUAAUCGUAGAUCAGAAUGCUACGGUGAAUACGUUCCCGGGCCUUGUACACACCGCCCGUCACACCAUGGGAGUGGGCUGCAAAAGAAGUAGGUAGCUUAACCUUCGGGAGGGCGCUUACCACUUUGUGAUUCAUGACUGGGGUGAAGUCGUAACAAGGUAGGCGUAGCGAG